rnacentral:lncRNA from 1 species
CUGGGCAUGAGUAACCGUUUCCGUAGAUUGAUGGGGCCAUCAUUGCUGAGAUGUAUUGCUAGAUCGCGAAGCACGUCGUGCUGGUAAACGGAUAUCUCAUAGUACUGCUAUAUUUUUCUCCCGACCUGCAAAUAUGUGAGAUUCAGAAUUUCCAUUAUGAACAAAUUAAGUCGAUGCAAAUAUAUUAGUACUGUACCUAGCAUCUUUGACUAGUGUAAGCAGAUUCUUGUCGGAAAGCUGGACUAAUACAGUGAAGGCUUCUUCUUCAGGGAUGUCAUGAAGCUCCACCCACAUAUUGAUGAGAAUGUGAAGCGGGAUUCUCUUGUCUUCAGGGAAGGCACCCAAAUCCAAGAAACACAUCCUCUCCGUCUCAGACAGAUUGUCGAUGCUCAU